rnacentral:rRNA from 1 species
UACAGAGGUGGCAAGCGUUGUUCGGAAUUACUGGGCGUAAAGGGCGCGUAGGCGGCCAUCUAAGUCAGACGUGAAAUCCCCGGGCUUAACCUGGGAAUGGCAUUUGGGACUGCAAGGCUCGAGUGCGGCAGAGGAGACUGGAAUUCCUGGUGUAGCAGUGAAAUGCGUAGAUAUCAGGAGGAACACCGAUGGCGAAGGCAGGUCUCUGGGCUGACACUGACGCUCAUGCACGAAAGCGUGGGGAGCAAACAGG